rnacentral:rRNA from 1 species
AGCGAACGCUGGCGGCAGGCCUAACACAUGCAAGUCGAACGAAGUCUUCGGACUUAGUGGCGGACGGGAGAGUAACACGUGGGAACGUACCUUUUGGUUCGGAACAACUCAGGGAAACUUGAGCUAAUACCGGAUGAGCCCUUAGGGGGAAAGAUUUAUCGCCGAAAGAGCGGCCCGCGUUAGAUUAGCUAGUUGGUGAGGUAAAGGCUCACCAAGGCUACGAUCUAUAGCUGGUCUGAGAGGAUGAUCAGCCACACUGGGACUGAGACACGGCCCAGACUCCUACGGGAGGCAGCAGUGGGGAAUCUUGCGCAAUGGGCGAAAGCCUGACGCAGCCAUGCCGCGUGAAUGAUGAAGGUCUUAGGAUUGUAAAAUUCUUUUACCAGGGACGAUAAUGACGGUACCUGGAGAAAAAGCCCCGGCUAACUUCGUGCCAGCAGCAGCCGCAGUAA